rnacentral:ncRNA from 1 species
CUUACCGGAGGCUGCAUGGACCCCGAUCCGACCCCUCUCCCUGAACGGGAGAAAUUAACCCGGUAAGCCAGCCUGUUGUCGUUGUCUUGCCGGUCUUUCAGGACAGCGACGU